AGCGAACGCUGGCGGCAGGCCUAACACAUGCAAGUCGAACGAACCUUUCGGGGUUAGUGGCGGACGGGUGAGUAACACGUGGGAACGUGCCUUUAGGUUCGGAAUACCUCAGGGAAACUUGUGCUAAUACCGAAUGUGCCCUUCGGGGGCAAGAUUUAUCGCCUUUAGAGCGGCCCGCGUCUGAUUAGCUAGUUGGGUGAGGAAAUGGCUCACCAAGGCGACGAUCAGUAGCUGGUCUGAGAGGAUGAUCAGCCACAUUGGGACUGAGACACGGCCCAGACUCCUACGCGAGGCAGCAGUGGGUAAUCUAGCGCAAUGGGCGAAAGCCUGACGCAGCCAUGCCGCGUGAAUGAUGAAGGUCUUAGGAUUGUAAAAUUCUUUCACCGGGGACGAUAAUGACGGUACCCGGAGAAGAAGCCCCGGCUAACUUCGUG
rnacentral:rRNA from 1 species